rnacentral:rRNA from 1 species
GUGCAGCAGGCGAGAAUACUUUACAAUGUGCGAAAGCACGAUAAGGGAACUCUGAGUGCCUCCUAAGGAGGCUGUUCAGGUGUCUAAAAAGCACCUGGAGUAAGGGCUGGGUAAGACCGGUGCCAGCCGCCGCGGUAACACCGGCAGCCCAGGUGGUAGCCACUUUUAUUGGGUCUAAAGCGUCCGUAGCCGGUUGAGUAAGUUCCUUGGGAAAUUUGGCUGCUCAACAGUCAAGCUUCCAGGGAAUACUGCUCGACUUGGGACUGGGAGAGGUCAGAGGUACUCCAGGGGUAGGGGUGAAGGUCCAGUUAAUCCCUGGGGGACCACCGGUAGCGAAGGCGUCUGACCAGACCAGGUCCGACGGUGAGGGACGAAGGC